ACACGAGCGGCGAACGGGUGAGUAACACGUGAGCAACCUACCCUCAACUUCGGGAUAAGCCUCGGAAACAAGGUCUAAUACCGGAUAUCACUCCUUUCCUCAUGGUUUGGGGUUGAAAGUUCUGGCGGUUGGGGAUGGGCUCGCGGCCUAUCAGCUUGUUGGUGGGGUAAUGGCCUACCAAGGCGUCGACGGGUAGCCGGCCUGAGAGGGCGACCGGCCACACUGGGACUGAGACACGGCCCAGACUCCUACGGGAGGCAGCAGUGGGGAAUAUUGCGCAAUGGACGAAAGUCUGACGCAGCAACGCCGCGUGAGGGAUGACGGCCUUCGGGUUGUAAACCUCUUUCAGCAGGGACGAAGCGAGAGUGACGGUACCUGCAGAAGAAGGACCGGCCAACUACGUGCCAGCAGCCGCGGUAAUACGUAGGGUCCGAGCGUUGUCCGGAAUUAUUGGGCGUAAAGGGCUCGUAGGCGGUUCGUCACGUCGGGAGUGAAAACUCGGAGCUCAACUCCGAGCCUGCUUCCGAUACGGGCAGACUAGAGGUAGGCAGGGGAGAGCGGAACUCCUGGUGUAGCGGUGGAAUGCGCAGAUAUCAGGAAGAACACCGGUGGCGAAGGCGGCUCUCUGGGCCUUACCUGACGCUGAGGAGCGAAAGCGUGGGUAGCGAACAGGAUUAGAUACCCUGGUAGUCCACGCCGUAAACGUUGGGCGCUAGGUGUGGGGGACAUUCCACGUCCUCCGUGCCGCAGCUAACGCAUUAAGCGCCCCGCCUGGGGAGUACGGCCGCAAGGCUAAAACUCAAAGGAAUUGACGGGGGCCCGCACAAGCGGCGGAGCAUGCGGAUUAAUUCGAUGCAACGCGAAGAACCUUACCUGGGUUUGACAUAUAGGGAAAUCCUCCAGAGAUGGGGGGUCCGUAAGGGUCCUAUACAGGUGGUGCAUGGCUGUCGUCAGCUCGUGUCGUGAGAUGUUGGGUUAAGUCCCGCAACGAGCGCAACCCUCGUCCUAUGUUGCCAGCACGUUAUGGUGGGGACUCAUAGGAGACUGCCGGGGUCAACUCGGAGGAAGGUGGGGAUGACGUCAAGUCAUCAUGCCCCUUAUGUCCAGGGCUUCACGCAUGCUACAAUGGCCGGUACAAAGGGCUGCGAAACCGCAAGGUGGAGCGAAUCCCAAAAAGCCGGUCUCAGUUCGGAUUGGGGUCUGCAACUCGACCCCAUGAAGUCGGAGUCGCUAGUAAUCGCAGAUCAGCAACGCUGCGGUGAAUACGUUCCCGGGCCUUGUACACACCGCCCGUCACGUCAUGAAAGUCGGCAAC
rnacentral:rRNA from 1 species